rnacentral:lncRNA from 1 species
GGACAGGGGAAGAGGAUUACGAGGUGGACCCUCACUAAAACUUCAAAUAUCCAUCCAAUGAGUUUCUACUUGCUACAAUUAAAUAACACAUUGUAUGAAAUGCAGAUACACAGCUCUUCAUCAUCGCUUUUUGAUUCUUGAACGUAUAAUUAGACAUCAGACCUCCACUUGUUGAUAGUCUUUGAGAAGACGCGCGCCACUCAUAAGGAAAGCAUACGUAGUCUCCUCCUCACAAAAAUUCUGCAAUAUUCUUUUCCGAGUCAUAUGAAAUAACCCUACCUACCACAUAUAGUCAGAUAAAAGAUGUGUGGAUUAGCAGGAUGAAUAUCCACACUCCUCACUUCGUCUACUAAACCCCCUGGACAAUAAUUUGCAAGCAUAUUUCCUGACCCAUACUGCAUCUCGACUAUGAAUAUUGCUCUCAAGGCCUCGUCAC